rnacentral:tRNA from 1 species
AGGCCCGUGGCCUAGUUCGGAUAAGGCGGCAGCCUCCUAAGCUGAAGAUCGGGGGUUCAAAUCCCCUCGGGCCUGCCA